rnacentral:rRNA from 1 species
ACUCCUACGGGAGGCAGCAGUGGGGAAUAUUGGACAAUGGGCGCAAGCCUGAUCCAGCCAUGCCGCGUGAGUGAUGAAGGCCCUAGGGUUGUAAAGCUCUUUCACCGGUGAAGAUAAUGACGGUAACCGGAGAAGAAGCCCCGGCUAACUUCGUGCCAGCAGCCGCGGUAAUACGAAGGGGGCUAGCGUUGUUCGGAUUUACUGGGCGUAAAGCGCACGUAGGCGGACUAUUAAGUCAGGGGUGAAAUCCCGGGGCUCAACCCCGGAACUGCCUUUGAUACUGGUAGUCUUGAGUUCGAGAGAGGUGAGUGGAAUUCCGAGUGUAGAGGUGAAAUUCGUAGAUAUUCGGAGGAACACCAGUGGCGAAGGCGGCUCACUGGCUCGAUACUGACGCUGAGGUGCGAAAGCGUGGGGAGCAAACAGGAUUAGAAACCCUAGUAGUCCCAUGAU